GACGAACGCUGGCGGCGUGCUUAACACAUGCAAGUCGAACGGAAAGGCCCUGCUUUUGUGGGGUGCUCGAGUGGCGAACGGGCGAGUAACACGUGAGUAACCUGCCCUUGACUUUGGGAUAACUUCAGGAAACUGGGGCUAAUACCGGAUAGGAGCUCCUGCUGCAUGGUGGGGGUUGGAAAGUUUCGGCGGUUGGGGAUGGACUCGCGGCUUAUCAGCUUGUUGGUGGGGUAGUGGCUUACCAAGGCUUUGACGGGUAGCCGGCCUGAGAGGGUGACCGGCCACAUUGGGACUGAGAUACGGCCCAGACUCCUACGGGAGGCAGCAGUGGGGAAUAUUGCACAAUGGGCGGAAGCCUGAUGCAACAACGCCGCGUGCGGGAUGACGGCCUUCGGGUUGUAAACCGCUUUCGCCUGUGACGAAGCGUGAGUGACGGUAAUGGGUAAAGAAGCACCGGCUAACUACGUG
rnacentral:rRNA from 1 species